rnacentral:rRNA from 1 species
AGAGUUUGAUCCUGGCUCAGGAUGAACGCUAGCUACAGGCUUAACACAUGCAAGUCGAGGGGAAACGACAUCGAAAGCUUGCUUUUGAUGGGCGUCGACCGGCGCACGGGUGAGUAACGCGUAUCCAACCUGCCCAUCACUUGGGGAUAACCUUGCGAAAGUAAGACUAAUACCCAAUGACGUCUCUAGAAGACAUCUGAAAGAGAUUAAAGAUUUAUCGGUGAUGGAUGGGGAUGCGUCUGAUUAGCUUGGUUGGCGGGGUAACGGCCACCAAGGCGACGAUCAGUAGGGGUUCUGAGAGGAAGGUCCCCCACAUUGGAACUGAGACACGGUCCAAACUCCGUACGGAGGCA